rnacentral:rRNA from 1 species
CUAAGAAUAUUCCGCAAUGGACGGAAGUCUGACGGAGCGACGCCGCGUGGAUGAAGAAGGCCGAAAGGUUGUAAAGUUCUUUUGCUGGGGAAGAAUAACCGCAGGAGGGAAUGCCUGUGGGAUGACAAGAACCGGCGAAUAAGCCCCGGCCAACUACGUGCCAGCAGCCGCGGUAACACGUAGGGGGCGAGCGUUGUUCGGAAUUACUGGGCGUAAAGGGCAUGUAGGCGGCUUGGAAAGCCUGGCGUGAAAGUCUGCAGCUUAACUGCAGGGGUGCGCUGGGAACUGCUGAGCUUGAGUGACGGAGAGGGAGCUGGAAUUCCUGGUGUAGGGGUGAAAUCUGUAGAUAUCAGGAAGAACACCGAUGGCGAAGGCAAGCUCCUGGCCGAUGACUGACGCUGAGGUGCGAAAGUGUGGGGAUCAAACAGGAUUAGAUACCCUGGUAGUCCACACAGUCAACGAUGUGCACUAGGUGCUGGGGCGGUAGCUUCGGUGCCGGAGCGAACGUGGUAAGUGCACCGCCUGGGGAGUA